rnacentral:rRNA from 1 species
ACGCUGGCGGCAGGCUUAACACAUGCAAGUCGAGCGGGGAAGAGUAGCUUGCUACUUUACCUAGCGGCGGACGGGUGAGUAAUGCUUAGGAAUCUGCCUAUUAGUGGGGGACAACAUCUCGAAAGGGAUGCUAAUACCGCAUACGUCCUACGGGAGAAAGCAGGGGACCUUCGGGCCUUGCGCUAAUAGAUGAGCCUAAGUCGGAUUAGCUAGUUGGUGGGGUAAAGGCCUACCAAGGCGACGAUCUGUAGCGGGUCUGAGAGGAUGAUCCGCCACACUGGGACUGAGACACGGCCCAGACUCCUACGGGAGGCAGCAGUGGGGAAUAUUGGACAAUGGGGGGAACCCUGAUCCAGCCAUGCCGCGUGUGUGAAGAAGGCCUUUUGGUUGUAAAGCACUUUAAGCGAGGAGGAGGCUACCGAGAUUAAUACUCUUGGAUAGUGGACGUUACUCGCAGAAUAAGCACCGACUAACUCUGUGCCAGCAGCCGCGGUAAUACAGAGGGUGCAAGCGUUAAUCGGAUUUACUGGGCGUAAAGCGCGCGUAGGUGGCCAAUUAAGUCAAAUGUGAAAUCCCCGAGCUUAACUUGGGAAUUGCAUUCGAUACUGGUUGGCUAGAGUAUGGGAGAGGAUGGUAGAAUUCCAGGUGUAGCGGUGAAAUGCGUAGAGAUCUGGAGGAAUACCGAUGGCGAAGGCAGCCAUCUGGCCUAAUACUGACACUGAGGUGCGAAAGCAUGGGGAGCAAACAGGAUUAGAUACCCUGGUAGUCCAUGCCGUAAACGAUGUCUACUAGCCGUUGGGGCCUUUGAGGCUUUAGUGGCGCAGCUAACGCGAUAAGUAGACCGCCUGGGGAGUACGGUCGCAAGACUAAAACUCAAAUGAAUUGACGGGG